CACACCGCCCGUCACAUCACGAAAAGUCGGGUUGCACUAGAAGUCGGUGGGCUAACCCGCAAGGGAGGCAGCCGCCUAAAGUGUGAUCGGUAAUUGGGAUG
rnacentral:rRNA from 1 species